UGGGGAAUUGUUCGCAAUGGGCGCAAGCCUGACGACGCAACGCCGCGUGGAGGAUGAAGACUUUCGGGUCGUAAACUCCUGUCGAAUGGGACGAAAAAGAUGCGGGUUAACAGCCCGCGUUUCUGACGGUACCGUUAAAGGAAGCCCCGGCUAACUCCGUGCCAGCAGCCGCGGUAAUACGGGGGGGGCAAGCGUUGUUCGGAAUUACUGGGCGUAAAGGGCUCGUAGGCGGCCAACUAAGUCAGACGUGAAAUCCCUCAGCUUAACUGGGGAACUGCGUCUGAUACUGGAUGGCUUGGAUUCGGGAGAGGGAUGCGGAAUUCCAGGUGUAGCGGUGAAAUGCGUAGAUAUCUGGAGGAACACCGGUGGCGAAGGCGGCAUCCUGGACCGAUAUUGACGCUGAGGAGCGAAAGCUAGGGGAGCAAACGGGAUUAGAUACCCCCGUAGUCC
rnacentral:rRNA from 1 species